rfam:Triticum aestivum genome assembly, contig: Triticum_aestivum_CS42_TGACv1_scaffold_405718_5BL
UGAGUACUCCCUCCGUCCAGAAAUACUUGUCAUCAAAAUGAAUAAAAGGGGAUGUAUCUAGAAUACAUCCCUUUUUGUCCAUUAUGAUGACAAGUAUUUUCGAAUGGAGGGAGUAUAUA